GACGAACGCUGGCGGCGUGCUUAACACAUGCAAGUCGAACGGAAAGGCCCUGCUUUUGUGGGGUGCUCGAGUGGCGAACGGGUGAGUAACACGGGAGUAACCUGCCCUUGACUUUGGGAUAACUUCAGGAAACUGGGGCUAAUACCGGAUAGGAGCUCCUGCUGCAUUGUUGGGGUUGGAAAGUUUCGGCGGUUGGGGAUGGACUGGCGGCUUAUCAGCUUGUUGGUGGGGUAGUGGCUUACCAAGGCUUUGACGGGUAGCCGGCCUGAGAGGGUGACCGGCCACAUUAGGACUGAGAUACGGCCCAGACUCCUACGGGAGGCAGCAGUGGGGAAUAUUGCACAAUGGGCGGAAGCCUGAUGCAGCAACGCCGCGUGCGGGAUGACGGCCUUCGGGUUGUAAACCGCUUUCGCCUGUGACGAAGCGUGAGUGACGGUAAUGGGUAAAGAAGCACCGGCUAACUACGUG
rnacentral:rRNA from 1 species